rnacentral:lncRNA from 1 species
AUGACCAUGACCUCCGCCGUGCCAUGGGUUUUCCUGAACUUGGUUGUGAUCUCAAGUUCCCUGAAAGUGCAGCCAACACCAGCAUCAUUCCGCGAGGAAUCGAUUAACGACAACACCGAGGGACAGACGGACGAGCUGGGCCCAGGGCCGGCUCCAGGGAUAGCGCCGAGCUUCGCAGUCGGGGGCCCACCCGGGCGGGGCCCCAACGCCCGGAGCCCGCCGUCCCCGUACGCUCACAACAAACACGGGAUCCAGCUCCCGCUGCAGAUAUACCUCAGACCGGUGAGCCCCGCCCGUAACGAGGGCCAUAAGCGGCGUAGUGGCGGUUUUCGCCCACCCCAAAAACGUAACGUUCCGCCCCCUAACGCUGGCGUUAACAAUAACGGGCCCCCGCGCAACGCACCGCCCAGAUAUGGAUACCCCUCCCGCCCUAACUCCAGGCCCAACACACGGCAGGGCUUCAAUAACCGUCCGCCGAGGCAACAACCAUCCAGGUCCACGCCAGAAACAAGCGAGAGUGCCUCUGUGACGUCAACAGCGCCUGCGCACGCGCAACCCUUCGAACACGAGCACCGCUUCGAGACGUUCGACACGAUCUCCUACUCCAAGCUCUACCAAGAGAACAACGGAUUCGAUGCUAUUCCGGAGAAGGUGGACGCCAUCCUGAAAGCACAGGCCAAGCCCUUCGGCAAAAAACCCAUCACUUACGGUCACCUAGGCUUCACCGGUAACUUCUUCAACUCGCCGAAGCCGGCCCCUAAAAAGGGAUCGCACCCUCAACCCUCUGCCCAAGGACAUGCACCUGCGCAUGCUCAAGGACCCCCGCAAGGAUACGCUCAAGGCUACGGCCAAGGACAAGGGCAAAGCUAUGGUCAAGGACAAGGCCAAAGCUAUGGUCAAGGACAAGGCCAAGGCCAAGGCUAUGGCCAAGGACAGACCUACGGAAAGGAGCCCAAGAAUCACUCUAAGGAGAAGCCCAGGAAAAAGGCCAAUAGUGGCAGACACCGACCUGAGCAGAGUUACGAGGGAUAUGGUGACGAGUAUCAGCACGCCACUUACAAUUCUCACAUGAGCGAGCGCACCGAUACAGAAGACACCAGCGCUCACUACCGAAAACGCGAACCAGCACCCACCUACGAGUCCGCAUGGCACUCCUACGCCGACCACUCUUCCUCGUGGCAAGCCAAAGAUCAACCUAAUCAAAACUCCUACACAAACGCGAACGGCCAAAAGCCGUACUCCAACGCCCAGAACUACAACCAAAACGCCUAUCAAAACGCCUACGAGAACGAAGACAGCAACACGCACGACCGACCGGCCGAAUCCUCCUCGUACCAAUCUAGUCAAAACCACAAUCAGCCCAGUCAGAACUACGUCCAGCACACCCAGACCUACCAGAAGCCCGCUCCGACCCAGAACAAAAACAAGCAAUACGAACAAAGCAAUCAGGGGAAACAAUACGACCAGGGCAAACAAUAUGAACAGACCAAGCAGACCUACGAAGAUGAGCAAGAACAAAGUCAAGGUUACGGCCAGGUGAACCAGAACUACCAGACCCAGCAGUGGCAGUCUUACUCCAAGAAGCAGGAAGAACCUAAAGCUAAGGGGUCCGACCAGACCUACAGCUACCAGAGCUUCGAGCAGUCCGACCGGAGGGACCAAGGCUUCGAUGGCAGUCAAAAAUACGACAAAAGCAACCAGCAGUCUGACCAGGGUAGUCAGAGGUACGACCUGAACAACCUGAACAACCAGAAGCACGAACAGAGCGCGAAGAACGAAGGUCAGAGUAGCCAGAAGCUGGACAACUCGAGUCCAGACCUGACGAACAUGCAGUGGCAGUCGUUCCACAAGAAGCAGGAACAAGGGGUCCAUGGAACAGCCGCGGGUAUCAACGCCAGCGCGAGUAGUGUGGUGGACCGCUGGACCUACAACGAGGAGCCCAAUAUCUGGGGUAACGUUCACGAUGGCUACAAGAGGCUGGUGAGUGCCCAAAGUUCCGGGGAUGUUGGUUCUGAGUGGAACGCCAAGUUUUCCUUCUGGGACGGCAAUAACUACAACCGCUACCCCGUCGUUACCAGCGAGCCGGAUGUGCAUAAUGUCAAUUACUUGAAGCAGUACUUCAAGAGGAACAACGGCUAA